rnacentral:lncRNA from 1 species
GUGUAUCUCGCCACCCAUUGCUUGGAAAAGGUGGCGAAAGUUUUGUGGAAGCGAGUCAAACGGGAUCGGCUUCCCGGCCUUCCGCCAAUGCUGUGGGAGGAAUUCAAGCGGGAGAUGUUCGCCAACUAUUUCCCCGACACAUUGAAGCGGAAGCUCAAGGAGAAGUUCCGCAAGCUAGAGCAAGGGGACCGCUCAGUGGCGGAUAUGAACAAGAAUUCUCCCAUAUUAUAGAUUGCGUCCCGGAUGUUGUAAAGGAUGACCGGGACCGGGCCGAGUGGUUCUUGCGAGGACUUCGGCCGGGAAUUUACAAGGCCGUGCAAAUACUCAAGCUCACGACCUUUGCGGAGGUCUUCGAUCAAGCCCUAUGGGCGGAGCACGGAGAUGCCCACGUUCGGGAGAAGCAUGAGGCUUUGGCCGAGUCCAAGGACAAGGGCAAGAACGCCAAGGCGGCGGUAGUUCGGGGGGACAGACAUGUUACAAGAGACCCCCGAAGUAUCUGCGCACUCAAAAGAAGGGCGGUGGAGCGCGGCGAUGCAUUGUGCGCGGCGGAGACCACCCGGUCUCGCGCUGUGAGCAAGGCCGAGGCAAGUGCUACAAGUGUGGGCAGCCGGGGCACUUCAUUCGAGAUUGCUAG